ACCUCGGUAACCUGAGGGUAACACUGGAUACGAGAUGGAUGCUGGAAUGCACUAUCUCUGAAAGGCAACGCCAUAGGAUGGGGCUGCGGCGGAUUAGGUUGUUGGCGGGGUAAUGGCCCACCAAGCCGAAGAUCCGUAAGGGCUUUUAGCGAAGGAGCCCUGAGAGGGAAUCUGAGACACUAUUCCCAGCCUUACGGGGUGCAGCAGUUAGGAAUCUUCUACAAUGCGCGCAAGCGUGAUAGAGCGAGCCAGAGUGUUUUUCGAUAUUUGAAAGACUUUUGCCAAAUGUAAAAAGUUUGGCGAAUAAGGACCGGGUAAGACUGGUGCCAGCCGCCGCGGUAAUACCAGCGGUCCAAGUCGCAUCCACAUUUAUUGGGUCUAAAACAUCCGUAGCUUGUUAUGUAAGUCUCUUGUGAAAUCCUGCCUCUCAAGGGUAGGGCGAGCAGGAGAUACUGCAUAGCUAGAGACCGGGAGACGUAAGGAGUACGGGAGGGGUAGCGGUAAAAUGCGUUGAUCCUUCCUGGACUAACAAUAGCGAAGGCACCUUACGAGAACGGUUCUGACAGUCAGGGAUGAAGGCUAAGGUCGCGAAAGGGAUUAGAUACCCCUGUAGUCUUAGCAGUAAACUCUGCACACUAAACAUCGGUAUCUCCUCGGGAGGCAUCGGUGCUGUAGGGAAGCCGUAGAGUGUGCUACCUGGGAAGUAUAGUCGCAAGGCCGAAACUUAAAGGAAUUG
rnacentral:rRNA from 1 species